GUGCUCACUUGGGAAGCACAUAUACUAAAACGGGAAUGAUACAGAGAAGAUUAGGAUGGCCCUGCACAAGGAUGACACGCGAAUUCAUGAAGCAUUGCGUAUUUUA